CGGGAAAUGGUGUAAUGGCACAGCAUUCGAGUCUUGGGCACUCGCGGCGAAAGUUCGAUUCUUUCUUUCCCGA
rnacentral:tRNA from 1 species